rnacentral:rRNA from 1 species
CCCUAGUAACGGCGAGUGAAGCGGCAACAGCUCAAAUUUGAAAUCUGGCGUCUUUGGCGUCCGAGUUGUAAUUUGCAGAGGGCGCUUUGGCAUUGGCAGCGGUCCAAGUUCCUUGGAACAGGACGUCACAGAGGGUGAGAAUCCCGUACGUGGUCGCUAGCCUUUACCGUGUAAAGCCCCUUCGACGAGUCGAGUUGUUUGGGAAUGCAGCUCUAAAUGGGAGGUAAAUUUCUUCUAAAGCUAAAUACUGGCCAGAGACCGAUAGCGCACAAGUAGAGUGAUCGAAAGAUGAAAAGCACUUUGGAAAGAGAGUUAAAAAGCACGUGAAAUUGUUGAAAGGGAAGCGCUUGCAGCCAGACUUGCCUGUAGUUGCUCAUCCGGGUUUUUACCCGGUGCACUCUUCUAUAGGCAGGCCAGCAUCAGUUUGGGCGGUUGGAUAAAGGUCUCUGUCAUGUACCUCCUUUCGGGGAGAACUUAUAGGGGAGACGACAUGCAACCAGCCUGGACUGAGGUCCGCGCAUCUGCUAGGAUGCUGGCGUAAUGGCUGUAAGCGGCCCGUCUUGAAACACGGACCAAGGAGUCUAACAUCUAUGCGAGUGUUUGGGUGUCAAGCCCGAGCGCGUAAUGAAAGUGAACGGAGGUGGGAACCUUUCGGGGUGCACCAUCGACCGAUCCUGAUGUCUUCGGAUGGAUUUGAGUAAGAGCAUAGCUGUUGGGACCCGAAAGAUGGUGAACUAUGCUUGAAUAGGGUGAAGCCAGAGGAAACUCUGGUGGAGGCUCGCAGCGGUUCUGACGUGCAAAUCGAUCGUCAAAUUUGGGCAUA